CAGGUAGGGAUACCCGCUGAACUUAAGCAUAUCAU
rnacentral:rRNA from 2 species